GAGGGAUAUUGCACAAUGGGCGAAAGCCUGAUGCAGCGACGCCGCGUGAGGGAAGACGGUCCUCUGGAUUGUAAACCUCUGUCCUCAGGGACGAAAAUGACGGUACCUGAGGAGGAAGCUCCGGCUAACUACGUGCCAGCAGCCGCGGUAAUACGUAGGGAGCGAGCGUUGUCCGGAAUUACUGGGUGUAAAGGGAGCGUAGGCGGGAUGGUAAGUCUGUUGUGAAAUCUAUCGGCUCAACCGGUAGCUGCGGCAGAAACUGCGAUUCUUGAGUGAAGUAGAGGCAGGCGGAAUUCCUAGUGUAGCGGUGAAAUGCGUAGAUAUUAGGAGGAACACCAGUGGCGAAGCGGCCUGCUGGGCUUUUACUGACGCUGAGGCUCGAAAGUGUGGGGAGCAAACA
rnacentral:rRNA from 1 species